rnacentral:lncRNA from 1 species
CAACAACCAGUACCAGGUUCUCUAUCACUACCCACCAACAACCAGUACCAGGUCCUCUAUCAGUACCCCACCAACAACCAAUACCAGGUCCUCUAUCAGUAGCCCACCAACAACCAAUACCAGAGCAAGGUCCUCUAUCAGUACCUCAACAACAACCAGUACAAGGUCCUCUAUCAGUACCCCACCAACCACCAGUACCAGGUCCUCUAUCAGUACCCCACCAACAACCAGUACCAGAGCAAGGUCCUCUAUCAGUUACCACCAACAACCAGUACAAGGUCCUCUAUCAGUACCCCACCAACAACCAGUACCAGGUCCUCUAUCAGUACCCCACCAACAACCAAUACCAGAGCAAGGUCCUCUAUCAGUACCCCACCAACAACCAAAACAAGGUUCUCUAUCAGUACUCCACCAACAACCAGUAUCAGAGCAAGGUCCUCUAUCAGUACCCCACCAACAACCAAUACAAGGUUCUCUAUCAGUACUCAACCAACAACCAGUACAUGGUUCUCUAUUAGUACCACACCAACAACCAGUAUCAGAGCAAGGUCCUCUAUCAGUA